UAGGGAAUCUUCGGCAAUGGACGAAAGUCUGACCGAGCAACGCCGCGUGAGUGAAGAAGGUUUUCGGAUCGUAAAACUCUGUUGUUAGAGAAGAACAAGGACGUUAGUAACUGAACGUCCCCUGACGGUAUCUAACCAGAAAGCCACGGCUAACUACGUGCCAGCAGCCGCGGUAAUACGUAGGUGGCAAGCGUUGUCCGGAUUUAUUGGGCGUAAAGCGAGCGCAGGCGGUCUGUCAAGUCGGAUGUGAAAUCCCCGGGCUCAACCUGGGAACUGCAUUCGAAACUGGCAGGCUAGAGUCUUGUAGAGGGGGGUAGAAUUCCAGGUGGAGCGGUGAAAUGCGUAGAGAUCUGGAGGAAUACCGGUGGCGAAGGCGGCCCCCUGGACAAAGACUGACGCUCAGGUGAGAAAGCGUGGGGAGCAAACAGG
rnacentral:rRNA from 1 species